CGGGACAAUAAGAUUUUUGGAAAGACCAAUUAGGAGAGAGUUACAAUAAUCCAUGCAGGAAAUUACUAGAGCAUGGACAAGCUCCUUAGCAGCAUCUUGUAUAAGAAGGGGGCGAAUGUGGGCUAUGUGUUUAAGAUGGAAUCUAUAGGUCUUGGUAACAUGCUGGAUGUGAGGCUCAAAGGUGAGGCCAGAAUCAAGAAUGACACCGAGACAGAACGCUUGCAAGAAUGGACUGAUG